GGGGGAACCCUGAUGCAGCCAUGCCGCGUGUGUGAAGAAGGCCUUCGGGUUGUAAAGCACUUUCAGUUGUGAGGAAAAGUUAGUAGUUAAUACCUGCUAGCCGUGACGUUAACAACAGAAGAAGCACCGGCUAACUCCGUGCCAGCAGCCGCGGUAAUACGGAGGGUGCGAGCGUUAAUCGGAAUUACUGGGCGUAAAGCGCACGCAGGCGGUUUGUUAAGCUAGAUGUGAAAGCCCCGGGCUCAACCUGGGACGGUCAUUUAGAACUGGCAGACUAGAGUCUUGGAGAGGGGAGUGGAAUUCCAGGUGUAGCGGUGAAAUGCGUAGAUAUCUGGAGGAACAUCAGUGGCGAAGGCGACUCCCUGGCCAAAGACUGACGCUCAUGUGCGAAAGUGUGGGUAGCGAACAGGAUUAGAUACCCUGGUAGUCCACACCGUAAACGCUGUCUACUAGCUGUUUGUGGCUUUAAGCCGUGAGUAGCGAAGCUAACGCGAUAAGUAGACCGCCUGGGGAGUACGGCCGCAAGGUUAAAACUCAAAUGAAUUGACGGGGGCCCGCACAAGCGGUGGAGCAUGUGGUUUAAUUCGAUGCAACGCGAAGAACCUUACCUACACUUGACAUGUUGAGAAGUUACUAGAGAUAGUUUUCGUGCCUUCGGGAACUCAAACACAGGUGCUGCAUGGCUGUCGUCAGCUCGUGUCGUGAGAUGUUGG
rnacentral:rRNA from 1 species